UCGCCGGGGCUCGAAGGCAAAAGCAAAUAAAAGCUAUUCACGCGGUACAAGAGUACUAUUCACAUUAUAUACAUCGGCAAAAGAGUUCUAUUUACAUCCCCAAAAAUAACUACUCAUACCAGUACAUCCUUAUGAUUAUAACCAACACCAAAGAGUAGACCCUCAGAAGGGUCCUUACACGGAUCACUAUAAUAGGAAAAAAACAUAUGAACUAUUCGGUGAUUACAAACGAAACCCAACUAUACUAGUGAUGGUGCCACAAAUUUCCCCGCGUCGACCCUGCUAAGGAAAACAAAAGAAAAGGGGGUAAGCUAGAAGCUUAGUGACUAACCAGGGGUAAAAAUGUAAUUUUUACAUGUCAACAUUUGCACAAUGAGAGCAAAGUAAAAGUAGAAAAGUAACACCACAUGGUAAGGAUACGGGUGGCUCCCAAGCCAACUCAUUUGUCGAGUUUGACCACUGGUUGACCCUUGAGAACCUGAGCCACACAACUCGCUUCUCUUAAAGGAUCCCACAUAGAGAGACCAUGAGCCUCAACUCAAGUCCGAGCAAUAAAUGCUCAAAAUAUUUUUCAAGCAAUAAAUGCUCUAAAAUCGUAGUUCAAGCAAUAAAUGCUCUAGUUCAAGCAAUAAAUACUCUAUUUCAAGCAAUAAAUGCUCUCAAAUUGCGUCACAAGCAAUAAAUGCUUCGCAAAUGUUUCACAAGCAAUAAAUGCUCCAUAACAAAUCACAAAAUCAUAUUUCACAGGUAUCAAGAGCAACUAAUGGGUUUUAGAUCGAGUGCGAUAAAGUACACCCUCGCCUAAGUGCCCAUUUUUCAUAGUAAACUCAUAUUAGUAUUGAGUUACACAGAAACCCUGAUUACUCACCUAAAAAGCAAGUAUAAUGAGAGAAAGUACGGAAAUGAAUUCAAGUCGUCAGCUAGUGGGCCCCACCGGCUCCGUCUAGCCCGUCACCGCCUGUAGCAGAAGGUUGAGCCAUAUUAUCACACAAACAACUACUAAAGUGCGUAAAUUAAGCAAAACGGCAAAAUUGGCACAUGCAUGUGCGGAAUCGGCAACCGGAAAUGGAAACGGCCGGCAAACGGAAAUGGGCAUAGUUGCUUUUCCAAACUGUUUUGAUCAUAAGUUGGGCUAGAAAUGUCGGAUUAAAGUGUAUGAGAUACCGUUACGAAGCUAAGAGAAAGGGCUACAAUUUUAAUGAAGACACCUUAAUCUCAAUCUGAAUGGAAGCAGGUCGAAAUUAUGGAAAACUGUACCAGAAGUUUGCACUUUAGGGUGACAGACAGGGUCUGUUUGCUGGACCAUAACUCACAGCUCAUACAUCCAAAUCAAGAAAUUCCAAAGGAGUUGGAAAUCUAUGUCAUAAUACUAAAACUUUUGUGUUUUGACUAAAACCUGAAUCAAUACAGAGCAGGGUGAAAAAUGGGUCCAAAAUUCCUAUCAGAACUGUCCAAAUUCAAAGGUAGUUCUGACAACCGAUCUUGCUUUGGUCAUAACUGGAGCUACGGAAUUUGGAUUUGGAUGCACUUUAUACUGUUUCGAAGCUAAGACCAAGAUCUACAUUUCUUAUGAAGGGAUCAACACCCAGUUCGCACGUUACCCAGGCGAACCGAGCAUGGUCAUAGGCCAAAUUUGAAAACGUAACACAAUCCAGUGUUCAAAACAGGAACGAUUGUUUUGGCCAUAACUCAGGCUACACUGAUCCGUUUGACCUGAAAUUUUGCAGGCACAUCAAGUACUUAAGAAGCUACAACUUUAAUGUUUUGAGCAGCUUCCGAAUCAGCACGCAGCAUAAAUAAAAACAGAGUCCAAGUUCGGAUUUGUGAACGGCCCUGUUCUAGUUUUGCCGGUUUUUGAACUUUGCAAAUACAUGGUCCAUUGCUAUGAUUCUUAUACAAGUUUUCUAACCAAUUUUCAUACCAAAUAACACUACAUAUACCAGAUUCUAAAAGACCUAGUAAUGGUCCAAACUUUCCUUUCCCAAAUUGCCAAAUAUUAACCACCAUCUAGGUUCCAAUUCCACUAAUUCUUUACUAACUUCAAAACCUUAAUCAACUAAACCCUAACCUUCCAAGUUCUAACUAAACCAAACUAAUUUUCCUUUUUCAUUAGGGUUCCAUAACAAACCUGAUUUUAUUAAGAAUUUACCAUUCAAAUGACUUAAUUACACCAAAAGUUUCAUUAUCAAGUCCAAUCACUAACCAAAUUAACUAAGUGAAGCUUAACCAAGAAUCCCUAAUUUCUUCUAGCCUUAACCAACAUUUCAGCAACAUUAUCACUAAAUUAAACCAUGAAAUUACUCCAUAAUCACCAUAUAAUCGUCGUCUACAUCAUGUAAAAUCAAAAUCGUAACAAAAGCACCACUUUUCAUGGAUUCAAGUCUUAACUACCCAAAACCAACUUUCAAAUAGGAUGUUUUACCUUUGAUUCAAGCUUUGUAGAUGAUCAAACCACCACAAUCAAGUGCCAAGGUUGUUGUUCUAGGCUCCAAGAUCAAGAUUAAUGGACAAAAGUUGAUGCAUCAAAGGAAUUUUUCUUCUUCCUUUUCUCUCCAAUUUUCGGCCCUUUCUU
rnacentral:lncRNA from 1 species